rnacentral:rRNA from 1 species
UACGGGGGGGGUAAGCGUUGUUCGGAAUUACUGGGCGUAAAGGGCUCGUAGGCGGCCAACUAAGUCAGACGUGAAAUCCCUCAGCUUAACUGGGGAACUGCGUCUGAUACUGGAUGGCUUGGAUUCGGGAGAGGAAUGCGGAAUUCCAGGUGUAGCGGUGAAAUGCGUAGAUAUCUGGAGGAACACCUAUUGCGAAGGCAGCUCGCUGGGACGUAACUGACGCUGAGACGCGAAAGCGUGGGGAGCAAACAGG